AAAAUAAUAAAAUAUCUUUUGAUCAAUAAUCUAAAGACCAAAUGUUGUUCUAAAAGAAAAAGAGGGGACAUCCUUUUAUCUUUUGGUUAAUAGGGGGUGUCAUUUUCUAUUAUAAAUAGAGGAAGGGAUUAAUUAUUUUUUGACACAAAAUAAAUAAAAAUUCACACACAAAAAGUCAGAUUUCUCUCCUGCACUCUCCUCCGCAACUCUCUUUCUUUCGUCACAUUGUCGCCGUCAAGUUUGACCACCGGACGACUGUUAAUUGUCGGAGAACACUGACACUGCCGCCUUUCUCUUUCUCUUUUUACCUCUUUUUUCUCCUUCACCGCUACCUCGAUGGAAGUGGUGGCAGGGGAGCUUCGACCGAACUCUGUCAUUUGCUGCGAGGUCCUCUCCCUUCACAUUGCUCUUCUCCCCUUGUCUCAUCACUGUCACACCAAAAAUAACCAGAUCUGAUCGAGAUCUUGAUGUCUAAGCCGAUACUUCAUCAAAUGUCGUUGAAGCAACGCCGCCAUUAUUUUCUCCUUCAGCAGAAAAUCUAGAUUUGACUGAAAAAAUACCAUCUCCGUCAGCAUUUGUGCUAUAUUUGACAUUGUUGUGUUCUUUCAAAUUUCUUUAGAACUUAGAUAAAGUUUGCUUACAAAUUUAUCUGGUUUAUUAUUAUGUCGAGCUUUUGGUUGAUUUUCACGAUAUUAUAUUUUUUCAUUGAUGUUUAGGCUUUAUUAAUAUGUUUUUAUUUUAUUUUAUUUGGUGAUUUUAUCUUUUGUUAAUGACAUUGUUACUUUAAUCAUGUCCUCGUCAAUAUAUUUCGAGCA
rnacentral:lncRNA from 1 species